GAACAUGCUGUGAAUUAGCUGUGAUUUCUCCUUCUCCCUAGGAUGUGAAUUCUCUUCUAAGAAGUUAUGUCAAGGCAAUAGAAAGGAAUAGCCCCAUUGUGCGGAGUCAGACCUUGAAACUGAAACAGCCGCAAACUAUCCCAAAAAGAAGAAGAAGAAUGUUCCAAGCUCAGGAUAUGAAAGGCAUGCUGCAAGCAUAUCUAGGGCUCAUGGAUCUCCGGCGAUACUGGGGUAAGGAGAAACCACAGCGCCAUAAGCCCCUCUCCUCUCAAUGUCUUCCAGAAUGUAUUUCUCUGUUAAGUCUCAUGUUUCAUGUAGCUACGCCCACUAUGCAGAGCAAUCUGCCUCUCCUUGAGAGGAAAUGCUUCUCCACAUUUCUUCUCUCUUCCUCAUUUGCCUUCUGCUCUUUGUGUUACAAAUAAGCAGUAAUUUAUUUCAUCUGACUA
rnacentral:lncRNA from 1 species